GGGCUUAUGGUCUAGGGGUAUGAUACUCCCUUCGCAUUGGAAAGCAUCUGCUCUCUAAUAUGAGCUUGGGAGUGGUCCGGGGUUCAAUUCCCCGUGAGUCCA
rnacentral:tRNA from 1 species